rnacentral:rRNA from 1 species
CUACGGGUCGCAGCAGCAACGAAUAUUGGACAAUGAGCGAAAGCUUGAUCCAGCGAUGCCGCGUGUGGGAUGAAUCUUCUCGGAGUGUAAACCACUGUCAGGGGCUAGAAACACAAUGAUCAGCCCCAGAGGAAGGGCCGGCUAACUUCGUGCCAGCAGCCGCGGUAAUACGAAGGGCCCGAGCGUUAAUCGGAAUCACUGGGCGUAAAGGGUGCGUAGGCGGGUCUGUAAGUAUCUUGUGAAAUCCCACGGCUCAACCGUGGAACUGCUCGGUAGACUGCAGACCUUGAGGUCGGUAGAGGAUGCUGGAACUCUAGGUGGAGCGGUGAAAUGCGUAGAUAUCUAGAGGAACACCGAAGGUGAAGACAGGCAUCUGGGCCGAUUCUGACGCUGAGGCACGAAAGCGUGGGUAGCGAACGGGAUUAGAUACCCCGGUAGUC